rnacentral:rRNA from 1 species
AUUGAACGCUGGCGGCAUGCCUUACACAUGCAAGUCGAACGGUAACGGGCCUUCGGGUGCCGACGAGUGGCGAACGGGUGAGUAAUACAUCGGAACGUGCCCGAUCGUGGGGGAUAACGAGGCGAAAGCUUUGCUAAUACCGCAUACGAUCUACGGAUGAAAGCAGGGGACCGCAAGGCCUUGCGCGGACGGAGCGGCCGAUGGCGGAUUAGGUAGUUGGUGGGAUAAAAGCUUACCAAGCCGACGAUCUGUAGCUGGUCUGAGAGGAUGAUCAGCCACACUGGGACUGAGACACGGCCCAGACUCCUACGGGAGGCAGCAGUGGGGAAUUUUGGACAAUGGGCGCAAGCCUGAUCCAGCCAUGCCGCGUGCAGGAUGAAGGCCUUCGGGUUGUAAACUGCUUUUGUACAGAACGAAAAGCCUUCUUUUAAUACAGGAGGGUCAUGACGGUACCGUAAGAAUAAGCACCGGCUAACUACGUG